AACGAACGCUGGCGGCAUGCCUAACACAUGCAAGUCGAACGAGACCUUCGGGUCUAGUGGCGCACGGGUGCGUAACGCGUGGGAACCUGCCCUUAGGUUCGGAAUAACUCCCCGAAAGGGGUGCUAAUACCGGAUAAUGUCUUCGGACCAAAGAUUUAUCGCCUUUGGAUGGGCCCGCGUUGGAUUAGCUAGUUGGUAGGGUAAAAGCCUACCAAGGCGACGAUCCAUAGCUGGUCUGAGAGGAUGAUCAGCCACACUGGGACUGAGACACGGCCCAGACUCCUACGGGAGGCAGCAGUGGGGAAUAUUGGACAAUGGGCGAAAGCCUGAUCCAGCAAGGCCGCGUGAGUGAUGAAGGCCUUAGGGUUGUAAAGCUCUUUUACCCGGGAGGAUAAUGACAGUACCGGGAGAAUAAGCUCCGGCAAACUCCGU
rnacentral:rRNA from 1 species